rnacentral:rRNA from 1 species
AUACAGAGGGUGCGAGCGUUAAUCGGAAUUACUGGGCAUAAAGCGCGCGUAGGCGGCCUAUUAAGUCAGAUGUGAAAUCCCCGGGCUCAACCUGGGAACUGCAUCUGAUACUGGUAAGCUAGAGUUUUGGAGAGGGAAGUAGAAUUUCAGGUGUAGCGGUGAAAUGCAUAGAGAUCUGAAGGAAUACCAGUGGCGAAGGCGACUUCCUGGCCAAAAACUGACGCUGAGGUGCGAAAGCGUGGGUAGCAAACGGGAUUAGAAACCCCAGUAGUCC